AUUAGCUCAGUUGGCAGAGCACCUGACUUUUAAUCAGGGUGUCCCGGGUUCAAAUCCCGG
rnacentral:tRNA from 1 species